GAUGAACGCUGGCGGCGUGCCUAAUACAUGCAAGUCGAGCGAACGGACGAGAAGCUUGCUUUUCUGAUGUUAGCGGCGGACGGGUGAGUAACACGUGGAUAACCUACCUAUAAGACUGGGAUAACUUCGGGAAACCGGAGCUAAUACCGGAUAAUAUUUUGAACCGCAUGGUUCAAAAGUGAAAGACGGUCUUGCUGUCACUUAUAGAUGGAUCCGCGCUGCAUUAGCUGGUUGUUAAGGUAACGGCUUACUAAGGCAACGAUGCAUAGCCGACCUGAGAGGGUGAUCGGCCACACUGGAACUUAGACACGGUCCAGAGUCCUACGGGAGGCAGCAGUAGGGAACCUGACGCAGCGGGCGAAAGCCUGACGGAGUAAGGCCGCGUGUGUGAUGAAGGUCUUCGGAUCGUAAAACUCUGUUAUGAGGGAAGAACAGAUGUGUAAGUAACUGUGCACAUCUUGACGGUACCUAAUCAGAAAGCCCCGGCUAACUACGUG
rnacentral:rRNA from 1 species